rnacentral:lncRNA from 1 species
GCCGUGCAGGUCGUGUUUUAAACCGUUUCCACCGUGAACGCCAACAUCCACCGCGUUGUUAUUAUUAUUAUUAUUAUUAUUAUUAAUAUUCUCGCCGCCAGAAACAGCGACGCCGUUGUCGAUCUUCUGGACGGUGGUGUCGCCGGUUGUUGGCCGCGAAGUUGAGAUCUGAGAACGGUAAGCUGUUUCCGCCGGGUUUAUUGUUACCGGAGAGAGCGAGGAGCAUGUAAGAAGAGGAGAUAGGCGGCGGAGAGGAGGAAGUAGGGCUGCGAGGGAGAGGAGGAGCCGGUGGGGGAGGGUGGUGACGGUGGUGAGGCUGGUACUCGAUUGCGGCGGUAGUGGAGGAUGGAGGGAGAGACGGUGGAGGCACGGCGGAAAUGAGGGAAGAGUCAUCGGGGUCACGGCGGUGGAAGUUACGGUGGCAACCGCAGGCGGCACACUUGAGGGAAGUUGGAUCGGAAGGCGUGGAGGAAGGAGAAGGCAUGAACUCGCCGCAACCGUCUAGCGCGUGACCUCCAAUCGCGGCAGCGUGGUUCUUGAGGCAUUCUUUGUAUGUGACGGUGACUGUGUGGUGGUGGAUGUGGUGGUGGCGUUUGAUGAUUCCGUUGCUGAAGGAGAUCGGUUUAGCUGGUUGGAUCCGGGUUGGUGUUUCGGAUUCGGGUUCAGGAGAUUUAGGAGUCAUAUCCAUUGCUCCAACUUCAAGCAUCGAUGGCUUAAUUAUUUUCAAAGAUAAUCUUGAGAGAAAAGAAAACGAAAAUUAGGGUUUGGGUUUGUUAUUAUUAUUAUUAUUAUUAUUAAUAUUCUCGCCGCCAGAAACAGCGACGCCGUUGUCGAUCUUCUGGACGGUGGUGUCGCCGGAGAACGGCUGGUCGCGGCGGGUGUUGAAGGUGUUUUUGUUAUUGUGCAUCCAGACCUUGAGCACGCCUUUAUCAACA